GUCUUCGUAACUCAGUUGGUAGAGUAUCGCACUUUUAAUGCGAGGGUCACGGGUUCGAGUCCCGUCGGAGACA
rnacentral:tRNA from 1 species